CAGCAGCCGCGGUAAUACGUAGGUGGCAAGCGUUGUCCGGAUUUACUGGGCGUAAAGAGCGCGCAGGCGGCUGGUCAAGUCCGAUGUGAAAUCUCCGGCUUAACUGAGAAACUGCAUUUCGAUACUGAUCGACUGGAAGGAGGCAGAGGAUAAACGGAAUUCCUGGUGUAGUGGUGAAAUGCGCAGAUAUCAGGAGGAACACCGGUGGCGAAGGCGACUACUCUGGCCCAUUCUUGACGCUGAGGCGCGAAAGCUAGGGGAGCGAACGGGAUUAGAUACCCUGGUAGUCCUAACCGUAAACGAUGAACACUAGGCGUAGUCUCCAUCCACCCCGGCUGUGCCGUAGCUAACGCAUUAAGUGUUCCGCCUGGGGAGUACGGCCGCAAGGCUAAAACUCAAAGGAAUUGA
rnacentral:rRNA from 1 species